AUUGAACGCUGGCGGCAUGCCUUACACAUGCAAGUCGAACGGCAGCAUGAUCUAGCUUGCUAGAUUGAUGGCGAGUGGCGAACGGGUGAGUAAUACAUCGGAACGUGCCCUGUAGUGGGAGAUAACUAGUCGAAAGAUUAGCUAAUACCGCAUACGACCUGAGGGUGAAAGUGGGGGACCGCAAGGCCUCAUGCUAUAGGAGCGGCCGAUGUCUGAUUAGCUAGUUGGUGAGGUAAAGGCUCACCAAGGCGACGAUCAGUAGCUGGUCUGAGAGGACGAUCAGCCACACUGGGACUGAGACACGGCCCAGACUCCUACGGGAGGCAGCAGUGGGGAAUUUUGGACAAUGGGCGAAAGCCUGAUCCAGCAAUGCCGCGUGUGUGAAGAAGGCCUUCGGGUUGUAAAGCACUUUUGUCCGGAAAGAAAUGGCUCUGGUUAAUACCUGGGGUCGAUGACGGUACCGGAAGAAUAAGGACCGGCUAACUACGUG
rnacentral:rRNA from 1 species